AGUAAUUUAAGUUAGUAUAGACUGUUUGUUUUCAAAACAAAGAGCGGUUUAGAACCAUUUGCUG
rnacentral:tRNA from 1 species